CAAGUGGAUCCAAGAUGGCGUAGAAAGUCCUGACUUCCCUCUCCUCUGCUGCUGGGACCGCUCCGCAAGCUGCUAGAGCCCUCCCACGGGGGACCUGAGCCCCCUCCGGUUCUCCCUGACCCAGGGAAGGGCGGCUCCGGGGCGGGCCGGGGGCCGGGGCGGCCCGCAGCGGGGCCUGGGAAGCGGGGCUCUUCGAGGCGAGGCCCGGACGCUGGGGCUGUUUACAGCUUCUUCCCCUCCUCGGUCCCCUUCCCCUCGGCUGGGGGCCGCGGCGCCCUCGGCGCGGGGCGAGGAGGGAGUUUUGCAGACCCGGGCGGGGAGCCCGCGGGAGGUUUUCCCGGCUCGGGCCACUCCGGAGGGGGGACUCGAGCCUCCCAGCACGCUCCCCUCGUCCGGGUCCGGGCUGGGGGUGGGGAGCGUGCGGGCCUCCCACGCCCCGCUGGGUUCCCCGCCUCUGGGCUCGGACUUCCUCCGGGGUGGGGUGGGGCGGGGGCCGGAGGGUGGGCGUCGCGAAAAGUGGGUCAGGGGCGCGCCCCCUUCCUCCUCUGCUGAGGGCUGUUUGCUUGAGAUUCACUUUCUUUCCCUCCUUUCCCCGCCCCCUCCUCGGAAAUUCUCGAUGGCCCACGGCACAGCAACAAAAAUAAAAACAGACUAGCCCUUCCAGGAGAUUCCUUCACGAGUCCCCUUUUCAAGGGCUUCGAGACUGCAGACCUAUCCAGGGAACUUUGAUUCCUCUUCCUCACCCUCUCCCCAAAUUAUUUGAACCUUUGCUGAGGAUCCUAAAGGAUUCUAAAGCCAGGGUCUUCAUGUUCUUCGGAUUGGAAUCCUCGGGUUUUGUUCGUAACUUAAAAUUUUCGUUCCUUACUCCUCCUCACAAAUUACACUUUUCAGGCAAGUCUUUAAUAAGUACAACCCCAGAGACAGUGGAUUCCUGAAGGGGGUUGGUGGUGGUGUGUGUCCUGGCCAGUUUGUUCUUAAUUUUGCUCACUUAAAUUCCUAUUAAUAGUUUUCUUUUUCUUCUUCUCUGUCCCUCUCUUUUUUUGAAAGUAAGGUCAGUCAGUGCUAAAGAAGAUGAUUUUUUAUCUUCAUGUUUUUGAUCUUAAGAACAUUUUAUGAUCUAUUUUAUCUCACUGAAAGGAAAUGUUUUUAAAGUAAAAGAAACAGAUUCAUUUGCAAAGCUGCGCACUGUACCAUUCUGGAAUUGGAUGAAGCAACUGAUCACUAAUGAACUACAGUACUGAAUGCAGACUCCCGGUUUCACCAAGUAUACGGCCUCUGUGAUACUAGCAGACCUCGUCCAGCUGGCGCAUCACUGUAACCGUGUUUUUUCCUUGGCGGGUGAGAUUCACGUUCAGAAAAAGACACUAUAUGUAAAAAAAAAUUUUUGGAUUAAAGAUGUGCCUCUCAAAAAUGUGUGGCAAAAGACAUCUUCACAGGAAAGAAGCUAAUCUUGAAUACCUGAUGCAUGCAAGACAACAGGUAGUAACCACAGCUAAGCGUUGGGAUUCUUCUUCUAAGACUAUUAUAGAUUUUGAGCCUAAUGAAACUACAGAUUUGGAGAAGAGCCUUCUUAUCAGAUACCAAAUUCCUCUCUCUGCUGACCAGCUAUUUACCCAGUCCGUUUUAGACAAAUCAUUGACCAAGACCAACUAUCAGUCACGGUUGCAUGACCUUCUUUAUAUUGAGGAGAUAGCCCAGUAUAAAGAAGUCAGCAAGUAAGUUACUUUAGAAACACUUCCCAAUGCUUAUAUUUUUUUAUCUCUUCUAUGGAUGGUAUUUUUAAUUUUUAAAAUUGAGGAAAGCCCAAGUGAACUUUGGUAGUAAAAUGGUUGUUAUUCAAUAGCUGUAUUCUAUCUUUAAAUAAAGUAUGAGCUUCUUACGGUAA